UAGGAAGCUGAGUGUUCACAUCUUCA
rnacentral:piRNA from 1 species